rnacentral:rRNA from 1 species
CCUACGGGAGGCAGCAGUGGGGAAUAUUGCACAAUGGGGGAAACCCUGAUGCAGCGACGCCGCGUGAAGGAAGAAGUAUCUCGGUAUGUAAACUUCUAUCAGCAGGGAAGAUAGUGACGGUACCUGACUAAGAAGCCCCGGCUAACUACGUGCCAGCAGCCGCGGUAAUACGUAGGGGGCAAGCGUUAUCCGGAUUUACUGGGUGUAAAGGGAGCGUAGACGGCGAGGCAAGUCUGAUGUGAAAACCCGGGGCUCAACCCCGUGACUGCAUUGGAAACUGUUUUGCUUGAGUGCCGGAGAGGUAAGCGGAAUUCCUAGUGUAGCGGUGAAAUGCGUAGAUAUUAGGAGGAACACCAGUGGCGAAGGCGGCUUACUGGACGGCAACUGACGUUGAGGCUCGAAAGCGUGGGGAGCAAACAGGAUU